rnacentral:misc_RNA from 1 species
GAUGAAGAACGUAGCGAAAUGCGAUAAGUAAUGUGAAUUGCAGAAUUCAGUGAAUCAUCGAAUCUUUGAACGCACAUUGCGCCCAUUAGUAUUCUAGUGGGCAUGCCUGUUCGAGCGUCAUUAAGUCCACUUAAGCCCUGCUUAGUGUUGGGAGACUGCUCCAGCGGUGCUACCCUGUAGCUACCCUGCAGCUCCUCAAAGACAGCGGCGGAGUUGUGGUAUCCUCUGAGCUUAGUAACUUGUUCUAGCUUUCGAGUACACCACUUCCCCUGCCGUAAAACCCUUAAUUUUUAAUGGUUGACCUCGGAUCAGGUAGGAAUACCCGCUGAACUUAAGCAUAUCAAUAAGCUGAGGA